rnacentral:rRNA from 1 species
GUAGGGAAUAUUGGGCAAUGGAGGCAACUCUGACCCAGCCAUGCCGCGUGCAGGAUGACGGCCCUCUGGGUUGUAAACUGCUUUUAUACGGGAAGAAAAAAUACUACGUGUAGUAUACUGACGGUACCGUAAGAAUAAGGAUCGGCUAACUCCGUGCCAGCAGCCGCGGUAAUACGGAGGAUCCAAGCGUUGUCCGGAUUUAUUGGGUUUAAAGGGUGCGUAGGCGGAUCUUUAAGUCAGUGGUGAAAGCCUGCAGCUUAACUGUAGAAUUGCCAUUGAAACUGAAGAUCUUGAAUGUGGUUAAAGUAAGCGGAAUGUAUCAUGUAGCGGUGAAAUGCUUAGAUAUGAUACAGAACACCGAUAGCGAAGGCAGCUUGCUGAACCAUUAUUGACGCUGAGGCACGAAAGCGUGGGGAGCGAACAGGAUUAGAAACCCCGGUAGUCC